rnacentral:lncRNA from 1 species
UGGUGCACUACAGGCGGUGUGGUCUGGAGCCAAGGGGGCCUGCUCCUGCCAGCUGCCUGCUCCACUCCCUCCAUGGCCCCAAGGCUGGCAACCCCCGGCCAGGCCCAGGAGCAGCGUCUCACCCUGGCCACGGACCCAUUGGGGGCCAGGACCCUGAUUUCGCACCGCUGUCUGGGCCUCAGCCACAGCACUCCCGAAACCCACUGCGUCCCUUCCGGCCGGGUCCCCACUCCCUACCUCCACAGACUGCCGGGUUUCUACCCCAGGGUAGCGGAAGAUCUUGGUCUGGCUGAGCUCGCAGGCGCCCCAUCCCAUUUUUGGUUUUUGCAGGCCAAGAGGUUUCGAAAGGGGGCAUUUUCAGCUUCCAGUCUGCGUGUUCGGGCUGAUUCGAGUGUACGACUCUGUCUCGUUCUAGCGAGGGGAGGCCAGGCCUGGAGGGACACAAUGGAGGUCGUCAGUAACUGUCCAGGAGGGCUGCCAUCACUGGGCUUCAGACAGAGUCCCCCACGAUUCCCCCUCCUUCGGUGCACAGGGCUUUUACGACUCCGACCCCCGGGAUCACGACGCGGUGGCUUUUCUCCUCUCGCUCCUCUCCCCAGGCUCACAUGAAACAAACAAUCACUCUUCGGCCUUCCUCUGGACUCUGAGCAAAUCAGGUCAGGUCCUGUUUGGAUGCCAGGCACAGCCCUGUGGCUCUCUGCUCAGAACCGCGCGGUCUUCUCAGCUGUGUGUCUCAGCACUCUGCCUGCUGCGGCCCGGACUGCGGACCCAGUCUCCUUGCUGGUGUGAGUUGUGGACUCUGUGAUCGCGCCCCUUGGUGUUGCUGACCCAGUGCUCAGGCAAAAACCUCCUUUUUUUCUGGAAGAAUUCUUGAGAUUUCCACAGCCUCCUUCCUAUUGUCACUAGGAGCAUUGUCCCAAAUGGAUGACUUGUUUUUUUUUUUUUUCCCUUCGAGACAGGGUCCUGUUGUGUAUCUCAGGCUGGCCUCCAACUCACUGUGUGGCCCAGGUUGGCCUCAAACUUGUGGCAACCCUCCUGCCUCAGCCUCCCAAGUUUUGGGAUUGCAAGUGUGCUGCUGUGCCCAGGUGAUUUACUUUUUUAAGUACUAGAUUCACCCAAACCCAUGCAUGUUGCUUCACUUAAUCCUAACAACGAUCCUAUUAUUUUCAUACCCAUUUGACAAAGAAGGCGGAGGCACCUGAAGUCAAUUGUCCACAAUCAUGUAUCAAGGAGUGGAUGGUGGUACGUUUGGCAAUUUCUCAAUUUAUCAUAUUGCAAUAUCUCUCUUUGAUAAUUCACAUUUGCAUCUCAAAGACAGCCCCCCCCCCUUAUCUGAGAAAUCCUGUCUUCUUUCAAAUUCAGGAUACUCUUUGGGUUUUUGUUUUCUUUUCACCUCCCUAGUGAUAAAAGAUGUAUUUAUUAUGGAAUUCUCUGACCUUCAAAAACACCUGGUGAGAGGGUACAAGAUCCCAAUGAUGAAUGUAACUGUACUAUAUACUUAAAACGUACCAAUAAACUCAAUGAGAUUAAAAAACACACACAACACUUGGUGAGUACACAGGGGCAGGGUGCUGGGGAUUGAACUGGUACACUCUAUGCUGAGCUCCACCCCCUGCCUUUUUAGUUUUUAUUGUGUGACAGGGUCUCGCUAAAUUGCCCAGGCUGAACUUGAAUUUACAGUCCUCCUGCCUCAGCCUCCCUGCUAGCUGGGAUUACAGGUGUGUACCACUAU